rnacentral:rRNA from 1 species
AGAGCGAACGCUGGCGGCAGGCCUAAUACAUGCAAGUCGAACGGAUCCUUCGGGAUUAGUGGCGGACGGGUGAGUAACACGUGGGAACGUGCCCUUUGGUUCAGAACAACUCAGGGAAACUUGAGCUAAUACUGGAUAAGCCCUUCGGGGGAAAGAUUUAUCGCCAUUGGAGCGGCCCGCGUCUGAUUAGCUAGUUGGUAGGGUAAAGGCCUACCAAGGCUUCGAUCAGUAGCUGGUCUGAGAGGAUGAUCAGCCACACUGGGACUGAGACACGGCCCAGACUCCUACGGGAGGCAGCAGUAGGGAAUCUUGCGCAAUGGGCGAAAGCCUGACGCAGCCAUGCCGCGUGAAUGAUGAAGGUCUUAGGAUUGUAAAAUUCUUUCAGCGGGACGAUAAUGACGGUACCCGCAGAAGAGCCCGGCUAACUUCGCGCCAGCAGCCGC